rnacentral:rRNA from 1 species
AACGCGUGGGUAACCUGCCCUAUACACAUGGAUAACAUACUGAAAAGUUUACUAAUACAUGAUAAUAUAUAUUUACGGCAUCGUAGAUAUAUCAAAGUGUUAGCGGUAUAGGAUGGACCCGCGUCUGAUUAGCUAGUUGGUGAGAUAACUGCCCACCAAGGCGACGAUCAGUAGCCGACCUGAGAGGGUGAUCGGCCACAUUGGAACUGAGACACGGUCCAAACUCCUACGGGAGGCAGCAGAG